rnacentral:lncRNA from 1 species
CUCGAUGAUGAAAUUUUAAAAGAUUAUGAAGGGCAAAAUGAUCAAUUAGAGAGAGAGAGAGAGAAAUCUAGAAGGUAAUUGUAAUAGGCCUAUUUUGCCUAAACCCAAUUAAAAUACAAAAAUCCAAAAAAUAAAAGUCCAAAUAAGAAAUAAAAUAGCAGCCCAAUCAGAAACCCAAGUAAUUACAAUAAAUAACCCCAAACCCAAAACAAAACAGCAAGCCCAACUAACCCAAUAACAAACCCUAGCCCACAAAAACAAAAAAGAAAAAGAAACCCUAAGCAGGGGAAAACAGCAGCAGCCGCCUCCAUCUCCA